rnacentral:rRNA from 1 species
CAUGUAGGCGGUUGUUUAAGUCUGAUGUGAAAGCCCUGGGCUCAACCCAGGAAGUGCAUUGGAUACUGGACAACUUGAGUACGGGAGAGGAAAGUGGAAUUUCGAGUGUAGGGGUGAAAUCCGUAGAUAUUCGAAGGAACACCAGUGGCGAAGGCGGCUUUCUGGACCGAUACUGACGCUGAGAUGCGAAAGCGUGGGGAGCAAACA